UACGGGGGGGGCAAGCGUUGUUCGGAAUUACUGGGCGUAAAGGGCGCGUAGGCGGUUCGCUAAGUUGGAUGUGAAAACUCUGGGCUCAACCCAGAGCCUGCAUCCAAAACUGGCGGGCUAGAGUUCUGGAGGGGGUAGCGGAAUUCCUGGUGUAGCGGUGAAAUGCGUAGAUAUCAGGAGGAACACCGGUGGCGAAGGCGGCUCGCUGGCUCGAUACUGACGCUGAGGUGCGAAAGCGUGGGGAGCAAACAGG
rnacentral:rRNA from 1 species